rnacentral:tRNA from 1 species
AGGAAGAUAGUUCAGCGGUAGAGCGUUGGUUUCCAAAACCAAAAGACAAAGGUUCAAAUCCUUUUUUUCCUG